UAAUUCACUAUAUUGUUCGCCAGAGUACUACAAGCGCUAGCUUAAAACCCAAAGGACUUGGCGGUGUCCCAAACCCACCUAGAGGAGCCUGUUCUGUAACCGAUAAUCCCCGUUAAACCUCACCACUUCUGGCCAUCCCCGUCUAUAUACCGCCGUCGUCAGCUCACCCUAUGAAGGUUAAAAAGUAAGCAAAAAGAACCAACUCCCAUACGUCAGGUCGAGGUGUAGCAAAUGAAGUGGAUAGAAAUGGGCUACAUUUUCUAUAAAGAAAACACGAAUGGUAGACUGAAAAAUUACCUAAAGGUGGAUUUAGCAGUAAGAAAAGAUUAGAGAAUUUCUCUGAAACCGGCUCUGGGACGCGCACACACCGCCCGUCACUCUCCUCAAAAAACCUACUUAUUUUUAAUUAAAAGAAAAUUACUAAGAGGAGGCAAGUCGUAACAUGGUAAGUGUACUGGAAAGUGCACUUGGAAUC
rnacentral:rRNA from 1 species